GACGAACGCUGGCGGCGUGCUUAACACAUGCAAGUCGAACGGAAAGGCCCUGCUUUUGUGGGGUGCUCGAGUGGCGAACGGGUGAGUAACACGUGAGUAACCUGCCCUUGACUUUGGGAUAACUUCAGGAAACUGGGGCUAAUACCGGAUAGGAGCUCCUGCUGCAUGGUGGGGGUUGGAAAGUUUCGGCGGUUGGGGAUGGACUCGCGGCUUAUCAGCUUGUUGGUGGGGUAGUGGCUUACCAAGGCUUUGACGGGUAGCCGGCCUGAGAGGGUGACCGGCCACAAUGGGACUGAGAUACGGCCCAGACUACUACGGGAGGCAGCAGUGGGGAAUAUUGCACAAUGGGAGGAAGCCUGAUGCAGCAACGCCGCGUGCGGGAUGACGGCCUUCGGGUUGUAAACCGCUUUCGCCUGUGACGAAGCGUGAGUGACGGUAAUGGGUAAAGAAGCACCGGCUAACUACGUG
rnacentral:rRNA from 1 species